rnacentral:lncRNA from 1 species
AGCUGUAUUUGGUCUGGACACACGGUGAGAAGGAAGAUGUUCCCGUGACAUGGUUUGUGAUGUGAUGCUGUUCGAUGAGCUUGAUGAUGCCAUUCACAGGACUGUUCUUCACGAUCACCAGCAUUUCAGCUUGCAUAUGUAAGUUCAUUUUUUGUUUCUUUUUGUGAAUCGACGAGAAGUGAAUAUAUGCGGCAUGAUUUUCAGAAUGGAAUUGGUUAAGCUGACCUUGAGAGAAACUCCACAGAAAUGGAGGUAGUGGUUCAAAAGUGUGUUCAUCCCCUCCUCGGUCUUCCUGUAUGCCUUGAGCUCAUUCUGAAGCUGGCUUGGAUCAACCUUUCAUAAUCCUGCGGCACGAGAGUUGAACGCAUUAGUUGAU